GAUGAAGAACGCAGCGAAAUGCGAUAAGUAAUGUGAAUUGCAGAAUUCAGUGAAUCAUCGAAUCUUUGAACGCACAUUGCGCCCCCUGGUAUUCCGGGGGCAUGCCUGUCCGAGCGUCAUUACAACCCUCAAGCUCAGCUUGGUGUUGGGCCCCGCCGCCCCGGCGGGCCCUAAAGUCAGUGGCGGUGCCGUCCGGCUCCGAGCGUAGUAAUUCUUCUCGCUCUGGAGGUCCGGUCGUGUGCUCGCCAGCAACCCCCAAUUUUUUUCAGGUUGACCUCGGAUCAGGUAGGGAUACCCGCUGAACUUAAGCAUAUCAAUAAGCGAGGA
rnacentral:misc_RNA from 1 species